UACGUAGGGUGCAAGCGUUGUCCGGAAUUAUUGGGCGUAAAGAGUUCGUAGGCGGUCCGUCACGUCGGGAGUGAAAACUCGGAGCUCAACUCCGAGCCUGCUUCCGAUACGGGCAGACUAGAGGUAGGCAGGGGAGAGCGGAACUCCUGGUGUAGCGGUGGAAUGCGCAGAUAUCAGGAGGAACACCGAUGGCGAAGGCAGGUCUCUGGGCCACUACUGACGCUGAGAAGCGAAAGCAUGGGGAGCGAACAGG
rnacentral:rRNA from 1 species